GAAAAGUUAGUUAAUUUAUAACAUAAAAUUGUCAAUUUUAAAUUACUAAUUCUUUAGUACCUUUCA
rnacentral:tRNA from 1 species